UCCCCUUUCUCUGUCUGCUGCAAGGCAGUAAGUUGAUUACCCAUCUGCAGUGCAUGCUUGGGACCUCUCCUUCCUCCGGACUUUUGUAGCUAUUUUGUUUCUGUUCUGAGAUGGGUUAAUGAGGCCCAGGCUUUGCUCUGAUUCAGAGACUCUCCUACCUCUAUCUGCUGCGUAUUGGGAACAGAGGCAUGCAACACCAUGGCUGACCGGCUUCCAAUUCUCCCUGGAUUGCAGGCUCCUGCUCUCCUACACAGCCCCACGGAGGAUUUCAGGUCUGUGCUGGGAACAUGUUUUUACCCACAGAGCCAUCUCCUGAGCCCAAAGGGGUUCCUCGACGGUAAUGAGAGUUGAGAAACUGAGCUGAGUACAAGCCAGCAUGUGCAUGUGAGUGUGCACAGUCAUUCGCUUCUGCUCUUGACAGUGUGAUGUGGCCAGCUGUUGGAAGAUCCUGCCCUGACUUCUGUACAAAGAUCGACUAUAAACUGGAAUUGGGAGCUGAAAUAAACCCUCCACCUCUACAUUGCUUUUUGUCUGGUUAUUUCAUCGCAGCGACAAAAAAAAAUAAAAAGAAGAUUGCAGGGCACCAGAAGGGCCUGUGACAUCUGUGGCAUCCAGACAGGGGAUUGCAUGUAGUCCCCGUUUCCACGGAAGACAUGGAAGAUCCCCAGUGGCUGCCCAAUUUUAUGGAUAGUCUGACCCCAAGAGAUCAAACUUUCUUCUUCACAAGUCGAUGAUAAAAUCUACUUAUCAGGAUGAGACAUAAUAUAAGAGAUUAACAGCUGGACCUGUGAGAUGGGUCAACCGGUAAAAGCAUAUACUACCAAGGCUGACAACCUGAAUUUGGUUCUCAGGACUCAAAUGGUAGGCUCUAGCAUACGGAGCCUGACACCAGAGCUCACCUAUUCCAGAAAGUUGUCUUCUGACCAUCACACACAUGCUGUGAGAAGCUGACACACUGCUGGGAAGAGAUGUUCCUUUCACUGAUGUCCCUUCACGCAGUAGAACCCGGGAACUUCUCAAACUUCUGUGGAAGUUUCUGAGAGCCAAGUCUCCUUCCUUGGCACCCUGAUCUCCAGGAGCCCUGGGACAGCCGCUGGACACUUCACCUAGCGUUACUGUUUUUACCAUGCUGGCAUCUUUACUUUAUUGCCUCAAAUUCAUGCUUUCAAGCCCUAAGCCUGCUACAUCAGAACCUGAAUGCCUCUGGAGAUGGUGCUUUGAAAAGACGGGCAAGGACAGGUCACAUGACAUAGUGGGGAAAGUCAUCUGCAGCCAAGCCUGAGGACCUGAGUUCAAUCCCUCGGACUUACGGUGGGAGGAGAGAACUGGUUAUUAUAAGCUGUCCUUGAAUUCCACGACAUGUGAACCUUGAACUCCCAACCCCAACCCACAAAUAAAAAGAUAAAAAUAU